AGACAUUUUUGAGAUUCUGAUUUAUUUAUAAUAUAAUAUUGUUUGCUAAAGAUCCAAAUUUAAGGCAUACAUGGAAAAACGUUUUAGUAACAGACUAACCCUUACGAUGUUUGUUUUUCAUGGUUUUGAAAUAAACAUACAAAAAGAUUGUUUUAUAUAUUUAUUACAUAAAUCAAAUCAAUAAAAUUCAAAUAUAUAUAUAAUAGGUGCGUGCGUGUAUUUUAAUUGGCACGUGCAGACAACACACAUAAUAUCAAAGUACUUCCCUGAAAAAAAUGUAAAGUUAAGCCCGUGUAACUCAAGUAAUUGCAAAUUUUAUUAUCAUGUAUAUGUUAUAAAUGGAAUAAAUUUAAAGCUGUUUUAA